GUACACUCCUACGGGAGGCAGCAGUGGGGAAUUUUGGACAAUGGGCGAAAGCCUGAUCCAGCAAUGCCGCGUGUGUGAAGAAGGCCUUCGGGUUGUAAAGCACUUUUGUCCGGAAAGAAAUCCUUGGCUCUAAUACAGUCGGGGGAUGACGGUACCGGAAGAAUAAGCACCGGCUAACUACGUGCCAGCAGCCGCGGUAAUACGUAGGGUGCGAGCGUUAAUCGGAAUUACUGGCGUAAAGCGUGCGCAGGCGGUUUGCUAAGACCGAUGUGAAAUCCCCGGGCUCAACCUGGGAACUGCAUUGGUGACUGGCAGGCUAGAGUAUGGCAGAGGGGGGUAGAAUUCCACGUGUAGCAGUGAAAUGCGUAGAGAUGUGGAGGAAUACCGAUGGCGAAGGCAGCCCCCUGGGCCAAUACUGACGCUCAUGCACGAAAGCGUGGGGAGCAAACAGGAUUAGAAACCCUAGUAGUCCCAUGA
rnacentral:rRNA from 1 species